UGUCUCUAUCGAUGACAGCUUCUAUUUGUCACAGUUACACAUAUGGCAAAUUAGAAUGCAUAUGAUUUUCAUGUUGUAAUUAUAGAGAAUUACAUGCUACUGCCUUUUGCUAUCAAUUUUUGGCUCAUUUUGAUAAAAAAAUUUCGGUCAGCUUUUUUGUAAAGAUUCAUAUCCAAUAAGCUAUCAUAUAAUUGUAAGUAUCCACUUAAAAAAUGCUGUAUUAAAUUGGUAUGAUUUUUUAAUUGACAGAUAACUCUGACUAGUUGUGCUUAAUUGUCUCCCUUUAAAUUUAAAAUAGUUUCUUUAUAUUUAAAAACAAAAAGCAAUACACAUUUGCUAUAAACUUGAAAUCCUUGGCUGCUAUCAAGGACAAGUAACUCUGCCAGGCACUUUUUCUGAAUUAUGCCCCCCUUUCUACUUUCUUUUUAAAUAGGAGCAUGCUUCUGUGGACAGGUCUUGACAGGUCUUAUUAUUUUGAUAAUUUGGUGGCUGGUAGUUUUCACUCCAGAUCACGGCAAUAAGCCACAUUGAAUUUACCAGAGUUCAAUUUGGCCACUACAUUGUUCCUGGACAGGCUGUCAUGCAUGUUUACCAGUACUGAUUGCCUUCACUUACACAAGGAACUGAUAACUUCUGAACAUGCCAGAGCAGAAGUACAGUGUGAAUGACCAUAGAAAGGAUUUCAUCAUCAAUCACAAAGAAAGUGACCUGCACUGUCGGAAUCAAAAUUGGGUCGCCCGAUUCAUAGUCCAACUAUUGAGUCCACCAUAGCCUAUUGAGCUAACGGACGUCUUUUUUGAUAAUUUGUCAAAUUAAUGCCAUUUGUACUCUUUGUUGAUUCACUAAUUGGUCAUCAUUCAUGUUAACCAAUUCUUCUGUAUUUUUCUUAUAGGAGAUCUGAUGGUUCAUCGGAAAAUGGUGUAGUGUGUGUGUAUGUUAAUCUGACGGGAUAAUGAUUACAUUAUAUAUUGUUAAAUGGUGAGUACUAGAUGAUAUUUUCCAUCAAGUUAUCAAGACGGUAAGAAUUGCAGUGGUUUUAGUCACUCAGCAGUGUGAAAGACAAGGCAAGUACAGAACAGAGAGAUCUGACCACGGUUAUUGAAGUGAAUGUAAUAUGUCAGCAAGGAAAAGCUGUGUGAAUUUAUUUGAUUCUCUUAAGAAAGACAAGUUUAUUAUGCCACAAAGAAACAGUUGUUGCCUUACUAUAGAAGUUCCUCCCAUACAUUAUCCAAGAUCAAACCUUGAACUGAUGCUUGCUGGACAAGUUGUUUAACAUUUGAUAGAGGAUCUACAUGUGAAUUGAUAAUGUGACAUUAAACAUUUUAUAUCUAUGGCAACUGAUUAAUACAGAGUGGUGUGCUUGGCAGUGCCGUGAGGGGGACGGAUAGAUUUAGCAUGUUGAUUGAUGUGUUGCAUGCAAAACAAAGAUAUAAUAGAACCAAUUAAGACAUUGUUUAUGACUCAGGUAAAGACCAUCAACUUGAGCAGUUUUGAUAAAAAAUUUAUUAAACAUUCAUUAUUAUAUUAGCUUGUUGAAAUUAGAUCACCCUCUUUGCCAAAUUAAUUGUUUUACCACAAGGCAGCUGAGAAACAUAAGGAAAAUGGGGCCAAUACAAAAAUAAAACAUUUUGAUUGGUAUAGAAAAUGGGGCGAGUGUAAGAAGUUUGAAAUGUUAGAUGUUUUUAACACAUUUUUAUAUGAAACAUUAAUAUUGUUUUUAGUCCCUUAUCAGUUUAACUAGAUGUGACCAGGUUUACCCUCUGUCCUUCUGUAUGUCCAUCCGUCCACGAAACCUUAUCCCGUGGUGAUGCAAAAAGUACUGAAUACUUUAAUGAAGCUUGAAAUAUAGUUAAAUAGCAGUCUGGAAAUUAUGAACAUCUUCUUUUCUUCUUAUGUUGAAAAAUUUGGUUGCUAUGGCCACAAAAAGACUUAAAAUAUGGAAAAUAUAACAAUAUUUGUGAUUACUCAAAAGUACAGAAAACAUUUUUAUGAAACUUAAAAUAUAAAAAAAGAUGGCAUCAUGACCGUAUGGAAAUUAUGCAUGUCAAGCUUCACAACUCUAGCACCAAAUUUAUUAGAUUUACCCCCCUUGAACUUGCAAUUUUCUUAAAAAAAUGUUGUUGCUUUUUUUUUUAUACAACUUCUUUAUUUCUUAACAUACCUACUUCAAACAUUGAAUAUAUGUUUCUUAUCACACCCACUUCAUAUGUGGCAUUAGGUCCAUUAUUCUAGCACCUUUAUAAUAAUCAGAAUUAUCAUCCUUAAAUUUUCAUUUUUAACUUGGAAUUGAUUUGAAAAUUGUUAGAUUUUUU